AUUGAACGCUGGCGGCAGGCCUAACACAUGCAAGUCGAGCGAGCGGCGGACGGGUGAGUAAUGUAUGGGGACUGCCCGAUAGAGGGGGAUAACUACUGGAAACGGUAGCUAAUACCGCAUACUAUCGGAUAACCCAUAUGGGAGUAGCUAGUCGGUGAGGUAAUGGCUCACCUAGGCGACGAUCCCUAGCUGGGCUGAGAGGAUGAUAAGCAACACUGGGACUGAGACACGGCCCAGACUCCAAGGGAGGCAGCAGUGGGGAAGAUUGCACAAUGGGCGCAAGCCUGAUGCAGCCAUGCCGCGUGUAUGAAGAAGGCCCGAGGGUGGUAAAGUACUGUCAGUCGGGAGGCGUUACCGACAGAAGAAGCACCGGCUAACUCCGUGCCAGCAGCCGCGGUAAUUC
rnacentral:rRNA from 1 species